GUCACGCCCGAAGUCGUUACUCUAACCGCAAGGAAGAGGACGCCGAAGGUAGGGCUGAUGACUGGGGUGAAGUCGUAACAAGGUAGCCGUACCGGAAGGUGUGGCUGGAUCACCUCCUUU
rnacentral:rRNA from 1 species